UGCAAAGGAGGAAUGUAAGCCACACAAU
rnacentral:piRNA from 1 species